rnacentral:rRNA from 1 species
ACGGAAGGCAGCAGUGGGGGAUAUUGGACAAUGGGGGAAACCCUGAUCCAGCGACGCCGCGUGAGUGAAGAAGUAUUUCGGUAUGUAAAGCUCUAUCAGCAGGGAAGAAAAAAUCAAAAUUGACUGUACCUGACUAAGAAGCCACGGCUAACUACGUGCCAGCAGCCGCGGUAAUACGUAGGUUGCAAGCGUUAUCCGGAUUUACUGGGUGUAAAGGGCGCGUAGGCGGAGAAGCAAGUCAGAUGUGAAAUCCAUGGGCUCAACCCAUGAACUGCAUUUGAAACUGUUUCUCUUGAGUGCUGGAGAGGUAGGUGGAAUUCCUAGUGUAGCGGUGAAAUGCGUAGAUAUUAGGAAGAACACCAGUGGCGAAGGCGAUCUACUGGACAGUAACUGACGCUGAGGCGCGAAAGCGUGGGGAGCAAACAGGAUUAGAUACCCUGGUA